rnacentral:rRNA from 1 species
UACGGAGGGUGCAAGCGUUAUCCGGAUUCACUGGGUUUAAAGGGUGCGUAGGCGGGCAGGUAAGUCAGUGGUGAAAUCUCCGGGCUUAACCCGGAACUGCCGUUGAUACUAUCUGUCUUGAAUAUAGUGGAGGUGAGCGGAAUAUGUCAAUGUAGCGGUGAAAUGCUUAGAUAUGACAUAGAACACCCAUUGCGAAGGCAGCUCGCUACACUAUCAUUGACGCUGAGGCACGAAAGCGUGGGGAUCAAACAGG